rnacentral:rRNA from 1 species
GACGAACGCUGGCGGCGUGCUUAACACAUGCAAGUCGAACGGUGAAGCUCCAGCUUGCUGGAGUGGAUCAGUGGCGAACGGGUGAGUAACACGUGAGCAACCUGCCCCUGACUCUGGAAUAAGCGCUGGAAACGGCGUCUAAUACUGGAUACGAGAAGGGCCCGCAUGGGCACUUUCUGGAAAGUUUUUCGGUUGGGGAUGGGCUCGCGGCCUACCAACUUGUUGGUGAGGUAAUGGCUCACCAAGGCGACGACGGGUAGCCGGCCUGAGAGGGCGACCGGCCACACUGGGACUGAGAUACGGCCCAAACUCCUACGGGAGGCAGCAGUGGGGAAUAUUGCACAAUGGGCGGAAGCCUGAUGCAGCAACGCCGCGUGCGGGAUGACGGCCUUCGGGUUGUAAACCGCUUUCAGCAGGGACGAAGCUAACGUGACGGUACCUGCAGAAGAAGCACCGGCUAACUACGUGCCAGCAGCCGCCGUAACAC